rnacentral:rRNA from 1 species
CUACGUGCCAGCAGCCGCGGUAAUACGUAGGUCCCGAGCGUUGUCCGGAUUUAUUGGGCGUAAAGCGAGCGCAGGCGGUUAGAUAAGUCUGAAGUUAAAGGCUGUGGCUUAACCAUAGUACGCUUUGGAAACUGUUUAACUUGAGUGCAAGAGGGGAGAGUGGAAUUCCAUGUGUAGCGGUGAAAUGCGUAGAUAUAUGGAGGAACACCGGUGGCGAAAGCGGCUCUCUGGCUUGUAACUGACGCUGAGGCUCGAAAGCGUGGGGAGCAAACAGGAUUAGAUACCCUGGUAGUCCACGCCGUAAACGAUGAGUGCUAGGUGUUAGACCCUUUCCGGGGUUUAGUGCCGCAGCUAACGCAUUAAGCACUCCGCCUGGGGAGUACGACCGCAAGGUUGAAACUCAAAGGAAUUGACGGGGGCCCGCACAAGCGGAGGAACAUGUGGUUUAAUUCGACGCAACGCGAGGAACCUUACCAGCGUUUGACAUC